GACGAACGCUGGCGGCGUGCCUAAUACAUGCAAGUAGAACGCUGAAGGAGGAGCUUGCUUCUCUGGAUGAGUUGCGAACGGGUGAGUAACGCGUAGGUAACCGGCCUGGUAGCGGGGGAUAACUAUUGGAAACGAUAGCUAAUACCGCAUAAUAGCAGUUAUUGCAUGAUAACUGUUUGAAAGGUGCAAUUGCACCACUACCAGAUGGGCCUGCGUUGUAUUAGCUAGUUGGUGGGGUAACGGCUCACCAAGGCGACGAUACAUAGCCGACCUGAGAGGGUGAUCGGCCACACUGGGACUGAGACACGGCCCAGACUCCUACAGGAGGCAGCAGUAGGGAAUCUUCGGCAAUGGACGGAAGUCUGACCGAGCAACGCCGCGUGAGUGAAGAAGGUUUUCGGAUCGUAAAGCUCUGUUGUAAGAGAAGAACGAGUGUGAGAGUGGAAAG
rnacentral:rRNA from 1 species